GGUUGCGUACUUUAUUUAAAAGACUUAGUUUGCAUCUAAAAUUAGAGAUCACACUCCGUAACCA
rnacentral:tRNA from 1 species